rnacentral:rRNA from 1 species
AGUGAACGCUGGCGGUAGGCCUAACACAUGCAAGUCGAACGGCAGCACAGUAAGAGCUUGCUCUUACGGGUGGCGAGUGGCGGACGGGUGAGGAAUACAUCGGAAUCUACCUUUUCGUGGGGGAUAACGUAGGGAAACUUACGCUAAUACCGCAUACGACCUACGGGUGAAAGCAGUGGAUCUUCGGACCUUGCGCGAUUGAAUGAGCCGAUGUCGGAUUAGCUAGUUGGCGGGGUAAAGGCCCACCAAGGCGACGAUCCGUAGCUGGUCUGAGAGGAUGAUCAGCCACACUGGAACUGAGACACGGUCCAGACUCCUACGGGAGGCAGCAGUGGGGAAUAUUGGACAAUGGGCGCAAGCCUGAUCCAGCCAUACCGCGUGGGUGAAGAAGGCCUUCGGGUUGUAAAGCCCUUUUGUUGGGAAAGAAAAGCAGCAGGUUAAUACCCCGCUGUUCUGACGGUACCCAAAGAAUAAGCACCGGCUAACUUCGUG